rnacentral:rRNA from 1 species
AGCGAACGCUGGCGGCAGGCUUAACACAUGCAAGUCGAGCGGGCAUAGCAAUAUGUCAGCGGCAGACGGGUGAGUAACGCGUGGGAACGUACCUUUUGGUUCGGAACAACACAGGGAAACUUGUGCUAAUACCGGAUAAGCCCUUACGGGGAAAGAUUUAUCGCCGAAAGAUCGGCCCGCGUCUGAUUAGCUAGUUGGUGAGGUAAUGGCUCACCAAGGCGACGAUCAGUAGCUGGUCUGAGAGGAUGAUCAGCCACAUUGGGACUGAGACACGGCCCAAACUCCUACGGGAGGCAGCAGUGGGGAAUAUUGGACAAUGGGCGCAAGCCUGAUCCAGCCAUGGCGCGUGAGUGAUGAAGGCCCUAGGGUUGUAAAGCUCUUUUGCGCGGGAAGAUAAUGACGGUACCGCAAGGAUAAGCCCCGGCUAACUUCGUGCCAGCCGCCGCGGUAA